AGGUUGAAUCCCAUUACUUGGCUCGCUUCAAAAUCUCAGCCCUAACCCUCGCUGUUGCGCGUUCACGCGCCGUGGAGCCAUGUCCCAAUACCAGUUUAAAUGUAGCUUAAGGGGUAGGGGGAGGGCUAACAUCCCCUCAGAAUUGAGAUUUUCGAUGGGCACCCUCAAAGCGCUUCAGUUCUGACUUGCUCCCACAAUACCUUGCGAGAAAACGGAAAAUCAAGAAAUAUCCUAGACAAGAUGGAGGGCGAAAAGAUGCGACAGGAUUGGAAAAACACAAAUGACUUCGUUGAGUCCACUGCCACCAGCCCCCCCCACCUCUCCCUCAUGCUCCUCCACCCCAGGCACCUCUUCCACCACCCCAGACACCCCUUCCAAGAGGAGAGUGCCAGGGGGCAGGCGAGGCAUGAGGAGAGCGAGGCAAAGUUGGCGGAAUGGUGGAGAAGAUGUGAUUCUCCACCAUUCUCUCAAAAGCUGAGAGAGAGUGUGUGUGUGUGUGUGUGUAUUUUUAGGUGUGCGUGUGUGUGUAUUUUUAGAUGCGUGUGUGUGUAUUUUUAGAUGUGUGGUUCAGUGUUUCUUAUUUAAAUAAAGUGUUUCUUCUAAAGUG